GAUGAACGCUGGCGGCGUGCCUAAUACAUGCAAGUCGAGCGAACAGACGAGGAGCUUGCUCCUCUGACGUUAGCGGCGGACGGGUGAGUAACACGUGGAUAACCUACCUAUAAGACUGGGAUAACUUCGGGAAACCGGAGCUAAUACCGGAUAAUCUAUUGAACCGCAUGGUUCAAUAGUGAAAGACGGUUUUGCUGUCACUUAUAGAUGGAUCCGCGCCGCAUUAGCUAGUUGGUAAGGUAACGGCUUACCAAGGCAACGAUGCGUAGCCGACCUGAGAGGGUGAUCGGCCACACUGGAACUGAGACACGGUCCAGACUCCUACGGGAGGCAGCAGUAGGGAAUCUUCCGCAAAGGGCGAAAGCUUGACGGAGCAACGCCGCGUGAGUGAUGAAGGUCUUCGGAUCGUAAAACUCUGUUAUUAGGGAAGAACAAAUGUGUAAGUAACUAUGCACGUCUUGACGGUACCUAAUCAGAAAGCCACGGCUAACUACGUG
rnacentral:rRNA from 1 species